AUACGUAGGGUGCGAGCGUUGUCCGGAAUUACUGGGCGUAAAGAGCUCGUAGGUGGUUUGUCGCGUCGUCUGUGAAAUUCCGGGGCUUAACUCCGGGCGUGCAGGCGAUACGGGCAUAACUUGAGUACUGUAGGGGAGACUGGAAUUCCUGGUGUAGCGGUGAAAUGGGCAGAUAUCAGGAGGAACACCGGUGGCGAAGGCGGGUUUCUGGGCAGUAACUGACGCUGAGGAGCGAAAGCAUGGGUAGCGAACAGGAUUAGAUCCCCUGGUAGUCCAUGCCGUAAACGGUGGGCGCUAGGUGUAGGGGUCUUCCACGACUUCUGUGCCGUAGCUAACGCAUUAAGCGCCCCGCCUGGGGAGUACGGCCGCAAGGCUAAAACUCAAAUGAAUUGACGGGU
rnacentral:rRNA from 1 species